rnacentral:tRNA from 1 species
GGUGGGGUGGCCGAGUGGUUUAAGGCAGCGGUCUUGAAAACCGCCACGCCGAAAGGCGUCGUGAGUUCGAAUCUCACCCCCACCG